GAAAUGCGAUAAGUAGUGUGAAUUGCAGAAUUCAGUGAAUCAUGGAAUCUUUGAACGCACAUUGCGCCCCUUGGUAUUCCAUGGGGCAUGCCUGUUCGAGCGUCAUUUGUACCAUCAAGCUCUGCUUGGUGUUGGGUGUUUGUCCCCGUCUCCGCGCGUGGACUCGCCCCAAAGUGAUUGGCAGCCGGCGUACUGGUCCCGGAGCGCAGCACAUGUCGCGCAAACGAGUGCCUUGGUACGGCGGCGUCCAUAAGCCCCUCUCUCACGCUCUUGACCUCGGAUCAGGUAGGGAUACCCGCUGAACUUAAGC
rnacentral:misc_RNA from 1 species